UACGUAGGGUGCAAGCGUUGUCCGGAAUUAUUGGGCGUAAAGAGCUCGUAGGCGGUUUGUCGCGUCUGCUGUGAAAACUCGGGGCUCAACUCCGAGCUUGCAGUGGGUACGGGCAGACUAGAGUGCGGUAGGGGAGACUGGAAUUCCUGGUGUAGCGGUGAAAUGCGCAGAUAUCAGGAGGAACACCGGUGGCGAAGGCGGGUCUCUGGGCCGAUACUGACGCUGAGGAGCGAAAGCGUGGGGAGCGAACAGG
rnacentral:rRNA from 1 species